CCAUGACAACAAUUAAUUUAUUUAUUGAGGGUGAGGCAAGGUCAAAGGUGAACUGCAGCUCGGAGGGAGGGGUCCAAUAUAAACCAGGACUUGCAGGUGUAGAAGUAAAAUGGGACUCAUAGAGGGUGAAAGAGAAGUUGGAGUCAGAGGGGAUUCAGAGAUCAAAGAGAAGUUGGGGUCAGAGGUAGGAGCUGGGGCUCAGGUGGGGGGUUAAAGGUGAGGCAAGGUCAGCGGUGAAGUGCAGCUCAGAGGGAGGGGUCAAACAUAAACCAGAACUUAUAGGUCUAGAGGUAAAAUGGGAUUCAUGGGGGGCAGAGGUCAAAGGUGAAGCAGAAGUCAGGGGUGAAGGAAGGUCUGCAAAGUUAAAGGUGCGGUUUCCAGAGUCAGAAGGGGUGAAGCGGGGCUCCUCCUGGGAAUGUCAAGGUUGGAAGAGCUCAAGGGGGUUAAAGAUAAAUUAGGGCUCAAAGGGGAGCCAGGGUCGGAGAUGAAGUAGCCAGAGGUAAAGCGAGCUCCAAAGGUAUUGUUAGGGUCAGCGGGGAGUCAGCCUUGGAGGGAAAGCGGGGCUCUAGGGUUCAGAGAUGGGGGGCCUAGCGGAUCAAAGGUCAGAAGCCUCGAGGGGACAGGUGGGAAGCGAUGGGAGCAGCCUAGGCCACCUCCUCCUCCGCCUCCUCCUCGAACUCGCCC
rnacentral:lncRNA from 1 species